rnacentral:rRNA from 1 species
UACGAAGGGGGGCUAGCGUUGCUCGGAAUCACUGGGCGUAAAGGGCGCGUAGGCGGACUUUUAAGUCAGGGGGUGAAAUCCUGAGGCUCAACCUCAGAACUGCCUUUGAUACUGAGGGUCUCGAGACCGGUAGAGGUAAGUGGAACUGCGAGUGUAGAGGUGAAAUUCGUAGAUAUUCGCAAGAACACCAGUGGCGAAGGCGGCUCACUGGCUCAUUACUGACGCUCAGGCGCGACAGCGUGGGGAGUCAAACAGGA